rnacentral:rRNA from 1 species
GAAUGCUGACAUAAGUAACGAUAAAGCGGGUGAAAAGCCCGCUCGCCGGAAGACCAAGGGUUCCUGUCCAACGUUAAUCGGGGCAGGGUGAGUCGACCCCUAAGGCGAGGCCGAAAGGCGUAGUCGAUGGGAAACGGGUUAAUAUUCCCGUACUUGGUGUUACUGCGAAGGGGGGACGGAGAAGGCUAUGUUGGCCGGGCGACGGUUGUCCCGGUUUAAGCGUGUAGGUGUGUGUUCCAGGUAAAUCCGGUUCACUUUAACACUGAGGCGUGACGACGAGGCACUACGGUGCUGAAGCAACAAAUGCCCUGCUUCCAGGAAAAGCCUCUAAGCAUCAGGUAACAUCAAAUCGUACCCCAAACCGACACAGGUGGUCAGGUAGAGAAUACCAAGGCGCUUGAGAGAACUCGGGUGAAGGAACUAGGCAAAAUGGUGCCGUAACUUCGGGAGAAGGCACGCUGACACGUAGGUGAAGUGAUUUACUCAUGGAGCUGAAGUCAGUCGAAGAUACCAGCUGGCUGCAACUGUUUAUUAAAAACACAGCACUGUGCAAACACGAAAGUGGACGUAUACGGUGUGACGCCUGCCCGGUGCCGGAAGGUUAAUUGAUGGGGUCAGCGCAAGCGAAGCUCCUGAUCGAAGCCCCGGUAAACGGCGGCCGUAACUAUAACGGUCCUAAGGUAGCGAAAUUCCUUGUCGGGUAAGUUCCGACCUGCACGAAUGGCGUAAUGAUGGCCAGGCUGUCUCCACCCGAGACUCAGUGAAAUUGAACUCGCUGUGAAGAUGCAGUGUACCCGCGGCAAGACGGAAAGACCCCGUGAACCUUUACUAUAGCUUGACACUGAACAUUGAGCCUUGAUGUGUAGGAUAGGUGGGAGGCUUUGAAGCGUGGACGCCAGUCUGCGUGGAGCCGGCCUUGAAAUACCACCCUUUAAUGUUUGAUGUUCUAACGUGGACCCGUGAUCCGGGUUGCGGACAGUGUCUGGUGGGUAGUUUGACUGGGGCGGUCUCCUCCUAAAGAGUAACGGAGGAGCACGAAGGUUGGCUAAUCCUGGUCGGACAUCAGGAGGUUAGUGCAAUGGCAUAAGCCAGCUUGACUGCGAGCGUGACGGCGCGAGCAGGUGCGAAAGCAGGUCAUAGUGAUCCGGUGGUUCUGAAUGGAAGGGCCAUCGCUCAACGGAUAAAAGGUACUCCGGGGAUAACAGGCUGAUACCGCCCAAGAGUUCAUAUCGACGGCGGUGUUUGGCACCUCGAUGUCGGCUCAUCACAUCCUGGGGCUGAAGUAGGUCCCAAGGGUAUGGCUGUUCGCCAUUUAAAGUGGUACGCGAGCUGGGUUUAGAACGUCGUGAGACAGUUCGGUCCCUAUCUGCCGUGGGCGCUGGAGAACUGAGGGGGGCUGCUCCUAGUACGAGAGGACCGGAGUGGACGCAUCACUGGUGUUCGGGUUGUCAUGCCAA